rnacentral:rRNA from 1 species
GCCCUAGUAACGGCGAGUGAAGCGGCAACAGCUCAAAUUUGAAAUCUGGCCUUCUUUGGGGGUCCGAGUUGUAAUUUGCAGAGGGCGCUUUGGCGUCGGCAGCGGUCUAAGUUCCUUGGAACAGGACGUCACAGAGGGUGAGAAUCCCGUACGUGGUCGCCUGCCUUCGCCGUGUAAAGCCCCUUCGACGAGUCGAGUUGUUUGGGAAUGCAGCUCUAAAUGGGAGGUAAAUUUCUUCUAAAGCUAAAUACUGGCCAGAGACCGAUAGCGCACAAGUAGAGUGAUCGAAAGAUGAAAAGCACUUUGGAAAGAGAGUCAAACAGCACGUGAAAUUGUUGAAAGGGAAGCGCUUGCCGCCAGACUUGCCCGUGAAGGUUCUCCUCCUCGGGCAGGCCAGCAUCAGUUUGAGCGAUCGGAUAAUGGCCUCUGUCAUGUAUCUUCCUUCGGGAUGACCUUAUAGGGGAGUCGUAGUACGGUCAGCUCGGACUGAGGUCCGCGCAUUUGCUAGGAUGCUGGCGUAAUGGCUGCAAGCGGCCCGUCUUGAAACACGGACCAAGGAGUCUAACAUCUAUGCGAGUGUUUGGGUGUCAAGCCCGAGCGCGCAAUGAAAGUGAACGGAGGUGGGAACCCUCUCUGGGGGUGCACCAUCGACCGAUCCUGAAGUCUUCGGAUGGAUUUGAGUAAGAGCAUGGCUGUUGGGACCCGAAAGAUGGUGAACUAUGCUUGAAUAGGGUGAAGCCAGAGGAAACUCUGGUGGAGGCUCGCAGCGGUUCUGACGUGCAAAUCGAUCGUCAAAUUUGGGCAUA